CCCUUAGAUGUUCUGGGCCGCACGCGCGCUACAAUGAUGAAUUCAACGAGUUUAUAACCUUGGUUGAAAAGCCUGGGUAAUCUUUUGAACUUUCGUCGUGAUGGGGCUAGACCCUUGCAAUUAUUGGUCUCCAACGAGGAAUGCCUAGUAGGCGCAAGUCAUCAGCUUGCGUCGAUUACGUCCCUGCCCUUUGUACACACCGCCCGUCGCUCCUACCGAUUGGGUGUGCUGGUGAAAUGUUCGGAUCGGCCGUUUGUCGCGGUUUCCGCGGCUCGUGGCUGAGAAGUUCAUUAAACCCUCCCACCUAGAGGAAGGAGAAGUCGUAACA
rnacentral:rRNA from 1 species